AUUGAACGCUGGCGGCAGGCCUAACACAUGCAAGUCGAGCGGCAGCAGGGCAAGAGCUGCUGAUUACGGGUGGCGAGGGGCGGAAGGGUGCGGAACAUAUCCGAAGCUGCGUGUUAUCGCGGCAGAACGUGGGCAAACAUACCCUAUGACCGCAGACUGCCUACGGGGGAAAGCAGGGGAACUUCGGCCCUCGCGCGAUUGAAGGAGCCGAUGUCGGAUUAGCUAGUUGGCGGGGUAAAGGCCCACCAAGGCGACGAUCCGUAGCUGGUCUGAGAGGACGAUCAGCCACACUGGAACUGAGACACGGUCCAGACUCCUACGGGAGGCAGCAGUGGGGAAUAUUGGACAAUGGGCGCAAGCCUGAUCCAGCCAUGCCGCGUGGGUGAAGAAGGCCUUCGGGUUGUAAAGCCCUUUUGGUGGGAAAGAAAAGCAGUAAGUUAAUACCGCGCUGUUCUGACGGUACCUACAGAAUAAGCACCGGCUAACUUCGUG
rnacentral:rRNA from 1 species